UACGUAGGGGGCAAGCGUUGUCCGGAAUCAUUGGGCGUAAAGAGCGUGUAGGCGGUCCGGUAAGUCGGCUGUGAAAGUCCAGGGCUCAACCCUGGGAUGCCGGUCGAUACUGCCGGACUAGAGUUCGGAAGAGGCGAGUGGAAUUCCCGGUGUAGCGGUGAAAUGCGCAGAUAUCGGGAGGAACACCUAUGGCGAAGGCAGCUCGCUGGGACGUUACUGACGCUGGAGACGCGAAAGCGUGGGUAGCAAACAGG
rnacentral:rRNA from 1 species